rnacentral:rRNA from 1 species
CCUCGGGAGGCAGCAGUGGGGGAUAUUGCACAAUGGGGGAAACCCUGAUGCAGCGACGCCGCGUGGGUGAAGAAGCGCCUCGGCGCGUAAAGCCCUGUCAGCAGGGAAGAAAAUGACGGUACCUGAAGAAGAAGCCCCGGCUAACUACGUGCCAGCAGCCGCGGUAAUACGUAGGGGGCAAGCGUUAUCCGGAUUUACUGGGUGUAAAGGGAGCGUAGGCGGCAGGGCAAGCCUGAUGUGAAAGCCCGGGGCUCAACCCCGGGACUGCAUUGGGAACUGCCCCGCUCGAGUACCGGAGGGGCAGGCGGAAUUCCUAGUGUAGCGGUGGAAUGCGUAGAUAUUAGGAGGAACACCAGUGGCGAAGGCGGCCUGCUGGACGGUGUACUGACGCUGAGGCUCGAAAGCGUGGGGAGCAAACAGGAUUAGAUACCCCAGUAGUC